rnacentral:rRNA from 1 species
CAGUAGCCGCGGGAAUACGUAGGUCCCGAGCGUUGUCCGGAAUUACUGGGCGUAAAGCGCACGUAGGCGGUUAUUCAAGUCAGAGGUGAAAGCCCGGGGCUCAACCCCGGAACUGCCUUUGAAACUAGAUGACUAGAAUCUUGGAGAGGUCAGUGGAAUUCCGAGUGUAGAGGUGAAAUUCGUAGAUAUUCGGAAGAACACCAGUGGCGAAGGCGACUGACUGGACAAGUAUUGACGCUGAGGUGCGAAAGCGUGGGGAGCAAACAGGAUUAGAUACCCCAGUAGUCCCUGUCUCUUAUCC